CGUGAUGACGACGUAUGUCACGUGAUGUAGCAAGAUGGCGGAUGUAGUACGUCCGAAUCUCAUUCAUACUACCAGGAUUCAUACUAUACAGUACCUACUGUUUUAACGGCAAGUAAGUAGGUACUUCAUCUAAUUCAGUACCUACUAUACAGUAUGCGGUUUCGGACGCAGCCUAGAUGCCCUAUUGGCCGCUGGGGACUGAGAAAUACGGCGGCCAUCUUAAACCGGUCGUUCUCCUAGUUUCGUUGCAUGGCAGCAGAUAAGAUGUCAGAGCACUGUGGAGCAUUUUCCUGUUCUAAUCGGCGGACGAUCGCAAAUAGAGCCCGGAGGAUUAUUUUCACAAGUACUUUUUAACAUCGCGGUACUAUUGGUUGUAUUUUGUGAAUAGAAUAUUAACAGAAAAUUGAGAAAGAGCCAGCUUAUUGUAGCCUGGUUAGCCAGACCUACAUCAAGAUGUAAGGUCUGGCAACUCUUCACACAAACGGCUCAAUGCAAGGGGCGGGAUAUAAGGUUGUCCCUCAAAAUGCCUCUGCACGCAAUAGGAUAGCGCUAUGACCAAUCAGAGCAACGAAGAACGAAGUUUUCAAGUAGGAACCGUCGCAGCUCUGUCGUCAUCAUGUUAAGCCCGCCCCACAGACGCUACACACGAUGUGAUUGGCCUGACCAAAUUUUGGUUUUUGGAGCUGUUAAGUGUAUUGUGAGUGCCUAGACUAAACCCUGGCAGCAAAUAUAUUUUGCGGCCGCUAGGGUGCGUCUAGAUUUCUAGGCUAAGCUUAUUGAUUUUACUGUACUGAAAUCGUAGCCAGCUAACGUUCGCUAGGAUGUUAACUGCACCAGCCGCUGUUCACCCUGCAAGGAGAGUGGGGUGCUGUGAGCUGCGUGAUCCGCCGAGCUUUAAAAAGCUGAGAUGUCAACAGGAACAGAGGAUGUUUUCCUUCGUAGGGAGGACAUUGAGGAGACUCGGUUUGGAAUCGACAACUAUCAGUCUGACUCGUUGUCAGUGGUUGUGUCUGUGUUUUUAAAGAUAAGGCUCCACCAUGUUGCCAAACUCACCUCUCUUGAACUACAGAAAGGGAGCACGGGAAAGAAGCUCUGGAAAACAGUCCUCUUUCAGGGGUGUGUGUGUGUGUGUGUGUGUGUGUGUGUGUGUGUGUGUGUGUGUGGGGGUGCGUGCGUGUGUGUGUGUGUGGGGGGGGGUUACAAAUCAUUUUAAAUUGUUUCUUCACCAUAUUAAAAAGUCUUAUUUUAUUGCAACUAUCUGUUUCUGCAUCUUUGUCAUAUUUAUAGUGUGUGAUUUAUAAAAUAUCUUAUGUCCUACACCA